rnacentral:lncRNA from 1 species
CGGAGGAGCCGGAGCCAGGGGAGGCCGGAGCCCGGGGGGGGCCGGAGCCAGGGGAGGCCGGAGACCGGAGGCCAGCCAGGAGGCCGGACCGGGGGCAGAGCCAGGGAGGCCGGCCGGAGACCGAGGCCGGGGGACAGAGCCCGGGGAGGCCGGAGCCCGGGGGGACCGGAGGCCGGGGGGACCAGAGGCCGGAGGGGACCGGGGAGGCCGGAGCGGCGCAUCUAACUCCGGAGGGCCCCUGAACGGUCGCCGGCCUUGGGAACCCGGCGGAGUAGAUACUCACCAUGGCGAAGUCCGGAAGGAAAGGACGAGAACGGCCGCUCGCGGCUCAAGUCACUCGGGGCGUGCGUCAAUGCGCACGCAGGCCCCCGACGCACUGCCGGCGUAGGAGGCCCCGCCCCAAGGACCCGCUUUUGGAGCUGUCCCCGCCGCUGCCUGCUCAGAAAGGCCAAGGCGCAUGCGCAGAUGCGGAUGACCCUCCCGCGCAGGGCGUCCCCGCGCCGAGAGGCUCCUUUUCGGCUUUGGGAGGGUUAUUUUAGGGGCCGCUAGGGGCGCCAGAGCUGAGGCGCGCUGAGCCUGGAGGCCGGGAGGCCGAGUCCUACAGCGCCCCUGACCUGGCCCGCCCCGGGGAGCCCGCUCCCCCUCGGUAACGCGCAGCCUCCCGGGCGGUAGCAGCCAGCGUCCCACACCGCCCCCCGGCUCCGGGAGCUCCGAGAACGCCCUUCCGGCUCCCGGCCCCAGGAAGGGCCCCAAGCCCCUUUCCCCCGGGGCUGCCCCGCCCCCACCCCGGGUCCGGACCGGACCGUUCUGCCCCAAAGCGCGACGCUGGCCAGACCCGGGGGAG